rnacentral:lncRNA from 1 species
AGAAAGCAGGCUGAGCAAGCCAGGGGAAGCACCCCUCCACAGUGUCUGCAUCAGCUCCAGCCUCAUAUAUUUUCCUCCUAUUUACUCAAGUACUAAAACUUGUGCAGGAAAACCUAACAGAUCCCCGUUAAUGUUGAUCACUUUUUCAUGUAGGCUGUGUGUAGGGAGAAAACAUUCCAGUCAAAGAGAAGAGGAUGACUGGCUGGUUGACAUAAAGGGGGGAAGGUGUCUGAGUGCAGCAAAGGCAGACACCCAUACAGAGGCAGAGAAUCCCUCAGUCACCUGUGACUUACUUAUUUGCUUUUCUAAAGAUUAUUUUUAAUUUUUCAGCUUUGGUUUAAAUAAGAACAGAAAAGUUAGGCAGUGGUGACACAUGUCUUUAAUCCCAGCACUUGAGAGGCAAAGGCUGGAUUUGUCGGAUCUCUGUAAGUUUGAGGCCAGCCUGGUCUAUAGAGUGAGUUUUAGGACAGCCAGGACUGUUACACAUGGAGAUCCUGUCUCAGAAACAAAACAAAACAAACAGCAACAAAAACCAGGAAAGGCAGUCUGACUUGGGACCAACCCUGUCAUUGUAGCUGAGAAAAUGUAGGCUUGAGUCCUCUGAAGAAACUACCACCAAGCUCAGCCUUCUGUUUCGAACUCGGCUGCUGAUUCAGGACCAGGGCCAUUGACGAGUAAAGCAGCUGAUGCCCUUUCAGUCUUUGCAAGAAAUGCCCUUGAGUCAUUCCUACUUCCAAAUGCUCUGCUGUGUUUGAGUGAUGGAUUGGCCAGUUUUCUCAGGAAAGCUUCAGGGGAUAAGUUUCAAAGGUGUUUGGUGAUUUCCCCAGUCCCCGUGGCCCUCUCUUGGAGAGGUUCUGGUGAAAUGAUUUUUAAUGUUCUUGGAAUCUUUUUCGUUUCUGUCAUCCACACUCGGGCGUUGUCAGGCCUCAGAGUCAGAAUAUGAAGUUUGCAGCUCUGGGUCUUCAUUCUUUGCUUUCUUCCGCUUCGGCUGGGCUCUCCAUUGCAGACAGCACUGUUUUAGCAAUAGAGCUUCCACCCUGUAAAGCUUGAUCCUUGACCAGCCUUCCUUCCUUACAGCGUAUACCACGACACGCUACUGUCCAUUGAGCUUCGGGAAAAGUGGCUAAUAGGUAGGUUGCAAAGCUGUGUAUCCAUGCCUCAAUUGCUUACAUACUUACUACCCGGUGUUAGCAACUGACUUAGUACCCGUGAAAUGAUUGUUACCAGUUGAGAAUUGUGCAUAUUCUUUUCUUUAUUUAGAACAGGUUUGAACAAGUAAAGUCUGUAUCAAUUAACAUUAUGUUUCUUGCCUCUUCAGAGGUCAGUAGUGAUAUGGAAUAUUCACCCAGCUUCGCUUCUGUUUCCCCGUCCUUAAGAUGGGGGCAACGAUGCAAGUUUGUUGUGUCUUACAGGAGACGGCUUUUAAAUGUUGCAAGUGUUUACUUCACUGUGUCCUUUCCCUGUCCAUUUCAGUUCAUUGAAAUUGUGUAUCUAAUGUGUGAUAUCUGGAUUCAAUAAAAACUUACAGUGUUGUAAAUGUUUUCCAAUAAAUAAUCGCUCCCAGAUAA